UCCUGGGACCAAGAGCGGCUCCUUUAUUGACUGGUUCUUCACGAAUUGCUUCUGCUGACUCCGGAGCCCAAACCAAAAUAUUGCGAUCAUUGGCUCCGCUAUAGAGAGACUGUACAUUUUCGUUGUAAGCACAACAGUGUUCCAUAAACGCAUUCGGCAAUCCGUACCUACGGAAAUCAAGAAAAGGCCGUCGGCAGUAAACGACAAACCGUGGACAUUCCCGUUGUGUGCUGUAGUCUUCUCAACAUCAGCAUGAUUUCGCCCAUUAUAUUGAUCCAUUGAAAACAAACAACUUCUAGCGGCUCUGACAUCCCACAUUAAAAGCCGAUUAUCCAUUGAACCGGAAGCAAGCUGGAACUCCUGCAUUGGUGACCACUUGACACUCAAUAUUGAAGAGGUGUGGCUUCUCAAUUCAUGCGUUGUCGAUCCACUCCGAAGAUCAGCCAGAAACACUUGGUUUGCUGUACUUGCAACUAAACACAGAAACAACCAAGUUGUGUUGAGUUGCAUUUGGAGACAUGUGAUGGUGGUAUAUCUUACCAUUCACAAGUACAACAUCUGCAGGAACUUGAGCAUUGGCAUCCCAAAUUUUCAAGUUUUUAUCCAUGCCACUAGAAAGGAACAUUCCUGUAUCCAAAGGGUACCACUGAACACAUUCAACACUGUACUUGUGGCAGUGACGAUUGCUUUGCCUGUCAAUCUUGCCCACAUUUUUACAAGUAAACUGCAAAUUUCCAGAAAGAUUCAAAACAUCAUGAAUGUGAAUGCUUCCAUCUGCACCACCAGAGAGUAAACUAUUAAAAAAUCUAUUGUGUUAAUCCCUGCAGAAUGAGAGUUUUCAACUUCUUGAAAAUUACUAAGGCGUAAAGCAGAGAUUCUCUUGGUUGCUUGGCUUGACCGAAAUUUCCUGGCGUCAAGUAGUCCUGUUUUCAAGCUAAAAAUAGCUUCCACGUCGUUCAUUUUUCAGCUUACAUUUAGGUAUUCGUAUAAAUAAUUCAUAAUUCGGUUAAAAACACGACAAAAUGUAAACUGCCAAUUUUGUAUUUAUUUAAAAUAUCGUCUGCUAUAAAUAACAGACCGACACAGAGCUGUCAUAUUUCGGUUAUGGUUCGACACAAAUAUUUUAUUAUUAAAAAUGUUUCAAUUUCUAAGAAAAAAGAGUAGAUCGCGAAACUUUUUUUAUCUGAUAUUUUUGUUUAUUGUAUCCUGGGUAAUAUUUUUUGGUAAAUAUUUGUUUUCCCGUUCCAAAAAUCUAAAACAUCAAGCACAACCAGGUACGUUGUAGGGCCAGUCACAUACUGCAGAAAAAAAUAGAUUUUAUUAUUUUGCAAGAACAUAGUAAUAGUUCUGAAAUGCAAAAUGUACCGUUAAUUGCAGAGUUGAAAACAAGACUACUCUGGCAAUAAUAAGUUUGGAUUCUCGCGUUAACACAUCGAUAAUAUUUGCUGCAAUUGGCAGGAUCGGCGUAGUAUGUUCCUUCACUUGUGCAGGUCACUAUAAAAUGAGUUAGAAUUAAAUAUGUAACUUUUUUGAAAAUCCGUUUUUUAAAAUAGUUCGUUGAUUAAUGUACUGGCUUUGGUUGUUGUUAUAGGAAACGGAGUUGGAGUUGGAGCCGGAGUAGCAGUAUUGAAAGGGCGUCCUUCAAAAAUGAAAUUUAAUUUAAUUUAAUUUGUUAUUUAGAUCAUUUAUUAUUAAAUUUAAUUUUAAUUUAAAAACUUUUUUAACGCACCUUCAAGUGUAGCAGUUAUGGCGUUUGAGAGCGGUCUGAAAACGUGAGAUGAUGAUUAUAUAAUACGUUACUUUUAGAUGCGAAUUGUCAAUUCAAUUUACCGUGGACCCAUUUGGCAGACGCCGUUAAAGUCAUCCAAGGUGAGCUCCCAAAACAUGAUACCACCGAGACCUUUACUCAUGGCAUAUUUUACCUUGGUGAUGACCAUGUCAAUGUCGUCCCACGAAACCCAAGAAGUACCCUGGUAGGCGUAAGGCCCCAUUUUUCCAGUUGGGUCAGUGACUACCUAAAUGUUAAAGAUGGUGUUCACACAAAGAAAUAUAUUCAGAACAUGUCAAGUCAGUGACUACCGUCCAGCCGCUCUGUUGGUAACUACAUAUCUCGUACAGCGAAAGGAAGCCAUCUUGGCCGGUAUAUGGGCCUUGAGGGCCAGCGCCGAUAGCUGGAGACAACAAUGCUGUUUGUGACGCGCUAGCUAAUCUAAAAGUACGACCGUAGCUGG